rnacentral:tRNA from 1 species
GGCGGGGGCAGGAUCAGAGGAUUGAAAAUCCUUGUGCCGGUGGUUCGAUUCCGCCCCGGGCCACCA